CUGUGAUGAAGGCUUGAACUUUGUCAUUUGAAGGUGUCACCCGGGGAGCCUUCAGGAGCGGCCGAGGAGUUGCUACCCUGCCGCGAGGGCAUCGGCCUCCGGGCGCGGCCAGAUGAGGCGGACGUUCUUAGGAGAAUGCUGAGCAAGGGGCCACAGUCGGUGACUCUAGGAA